GCCUCAAUAGCUCAGUCAGUAAAGCAUGAGACUUUUAAUCUCAAGGUCGUGGGUUCAAGCCCCAUGUUGGGCA